UCCCAGUGGGAGACGUUGGAUGUCCCCCUGGCCAUUUAAUGAAUUUUGGGUCUUCUUCUUCCUCAUAACACCAAACAGAGAGAGCACACCAAACAGAGAGCACGAAAGGGGUUGCGAUUUUAGGGUUUUCAAGGUUGUGAUUUUGGUGGUGAGAUUUUAGAGAGUACUUUGCAUCAAAACUUCUAUAUCUAUCAAUCACACAUUUGAGAUGGUUAGGUCACUAUUAUAGGGGAAAUGCUGCCCGAUAUUAUUUAGGAUAAUAAACGAUUAGUUGAGAACGGGCAUUACUUGAUUGAACAUGCGAGUCCCGGGCAUUACUUGAGAACGGUAUUAUUAAUUAAAAUUUACAAAUUAUUUUUGAAACUAUAAAUGUAAUCAAAUAAUUAAUUAAUAUAUUUUACUUUAUAUUUCUUGCAGCUAACAAGCACAUCAUAUACAGAGGCACAAAUUGAUGAGUUGCGACAAGAAUGGGCGACAUAUAUGUUGCCGAUAAUCCAAAGUUACCGACCUCGUUGAUAGGUUUUUUUUUUAAUUUUUUAACUCUUUCUUCAUACACAAUGCAAUAUUUGUUCAUUUUGAAUAUUUCUAACAAAUAUUGUAUUUCUUGUAUAUAUCUAACAAAUAUAUUUUUUUCUUUCAAUUUAAAUU